rnacentral:misc_RNA from 1 species
CAUGCGCCGGCACGCGCUGACGAUUCCACCAGAAGGCAAGAAGAGGGAGACGUCAUUCUUGUGGCCGUAGCGGCGCCUUCUUACAGCUUCCUCCUCGCUCUUACCUGGCCGACGUCGGUGGAAAGAACUCGAACCGACCGACAAACCUGCAGCCGCCGCGCCACGCUGGACCUAGCGGCCGAAGCUUCGUUCGCCGCUGUGUGUUGGUGCCGUCGCGAGUGCGUGUAUGUGGUGUUCCUCUUGGAGAGUCCCCGGUGCAAGAGUGUUGGCGUGUGCCGCCAUCACAGUGGACACCUAUUACGAGUGGUGCUGCGAAAAAACCGACGGGCCAUCGCGGUCCCAGAAUCGCGAGGAGCGUCCAUCUUUCGACUUGUGUCGUCGACUCUGGCGGCGUUGUUGUCGCGAAUGAAACGAUGCCUUCUUCCCGAGGAAUGCGGCGAUCCCCUCCGACCGCUAGAAGGAGUGCUUCUCGGCAGUGACUCUUCGUCGUCACACGGUGCUUGCGACUCGGAUUCCCGGUGCCUGCGGUUUGAAGGCGCCGCCACGGCGUUGUGACGUCUCUCGUGUUUCUUUUGCGCAUUUCUGAAGAGGAGCGGCGAAGGCAGGUGACCCUGGCCCUGGGAUGUUGUCAGAGCCGCGGCGUACGCAGCAGCAGCAGCAGCAGCAGCGCUCCUCCCAUGAGGACGGUCACCAGUCCUCGUCUAAUGGACGCCGCCAGCCCAAUGGUGCAGUGCUGAGCAACGGACACCACCAGACCGCCUGGCAGAACAGCUACAACAGGCCGCCCAGCCGGCAUAACCAGCAGCACAGCCACCACCACCACCAACAGCAGCAGCAGCAACAGCACGUACACCAGCACCAGCACCAGCACCAGGGUCCACCGCGGCGUCCGUCGUCGCCGUCAGACGAGACGAGCAGCUCGUCGGACGACCGCGAGGAGAUGGCGCGGUCUCUGGUGAGAAGACCGGGACCAGGACACGCCAACAAACACUGGGCGCCCGGUGCCGCUCACGACUUCCGCGGAACGCUCAGGUCCACACGCAGCGUUCCGGCCCUAGCCUUGGCUACGUGGGACGGAGAGCCCUGUCCCGUGCACGGCCACGGCCCGGCCGCCUUCUAUCCUCCGGCGCACGGACACCCGCCACCCCCGGCCACGCCACAGCAGGGCAUGCAUCCACCGCCACCCAUGUCGGCACAAGCGACCAUGAGGAGGUUCGGCUCCAUGUUCGACGUGCGGCCCGGCUUCUACCCGCUGACGGCGCUGGACCGCAAGUCGAUGCACGGCUCCAUGAGCGUCCUCAAUGUGCCCCCGCCUCCUCCCCCCGUGCUGCCCCCGGUGGGCGGCCCCCCUCUGCCCCCAAUGGGCCCACCGCCGUUCCUGCCCCCGCCGCACCUCAUGCCGCCCAUGAUGCGGCCACGGCCGUACGUGUACCCGGCCGAACCGCUGCCGACGCGGGACCCGUACCGCUCCAAGACGCCCGUCCUGCAGCCGCCCAAGAUGGAGCAGGACUACUACUCGGUCGACCAGGUGUGUUGCAAGGGUCACCUCAUCGUACUUUGGAUCAUCCUGGCGGUAGUGACGAUAGGCGUAAUCCUUGGCAUAAUCCUGGGGGUCACCGUCACCUAAGCCCUACAGUCCACGGACGGGACUCAGUUCAACGGGGCGAUUUUUCAGGGAUGCCUACCGGUCCAACGCAUCGCGAACUUCUUACUUGAACCUGCCUUCGGUGUCGUACCAAAGUGGUGUUGCACAAUUCAUAGCGACGACUGGUUGGCACCGAAUGUUAUCGUUCGUUUUUCUUGAGCAGAAAAACAAAAAAAAAGUUUAUUCAGAGCGGACCGAGAAUCCUGUUCCGAUGCCAGUGCAGAGCCACGGCGCAUGUGACUACGAAAAAACACGCAAAUGAACGCACACGUACAGUCUAAGAAAAAAAGAACUCAUCUGACUUUUUUUCUUUUUUGCGAUUCCUAACUUUCCCUGUACAUAACUCUCCUUAAAGAGCUAACGUGAACUCUCUUUGGAGAUCAUCAUACUCUCGUCGGAGAGUCGUGGGACCCAAGAGAGAGAACGUGACUCUUUAAAGAGAGCCAUACACGUUGCAAGUCAGGAAUCGCCGAAAAGAGUCACAUAUACUCUUUAUUUUUUUUUCUUAGAGUGUAAUAAAAGGGUAUAAAUAUCGCGUUUCGAACUAGUUUUACCGAUUUACGGUGAUCUUUUUAUGCGAACGUUAAAGCCCAAAAUAAGAAAGUAUGCGCUUCAUAGAAUGCGCACCCGCUGUGGUGGCCUAGCGGCUGAGUGUUGCAUGCACUGCUAAGCCAGAGGGCGCAGGCUCGAUUACUGGCCACGGAGGCCCCGUUUCGAUUAUUUGGAAAAAACACUCGUUUACUUAGAUUUAAGCGAGCGUUACGUAGCCUCAGGUGCUCAACCAUAAUCUGCAGACCCCCCCCCCCUCCUUUUGCCCCACGGCGUGCCUCAUUAUUCUAUGGUCGCUUUGGCACGUAAAAUACCAAAUUAAAUUUUCGGAAUGGAUGUCGUUAAGGUUUUUUUAUAGUAAAUAUAAGGAACUUUUGCGAGUUAAUUUCACGGUUACUUAGUAAAAAGCACUUUUGAACAAUCUGCAGCUAUGAGUACAAAAGUGAAAUGUGGACUUUGUGAUAAAUUUUCACCUUAAGUUUCCGAAGCUAUUCGUGCAUCUCCUGUGGCUCCGAAUUUGCAUGAUUUCUCUCGUUGAGCCUCAACAUGUUUCGAUAUCUCUAAAUAGAUAUAAUGGAUAACUAAAUCUCGCGCCAGUGCCAUCUUACUGGAUUCUCGGUCUGUCUCAAAUAUUAUCUCCAUUGAGGAAUUAGCAAAUGCACAUACGUGUAUUUGAGUUACUUACGCAGAUUUAAGAUUCGCCUUGCGCGACUUUUCUCGAGAUCUGCGACGCUUUGUCUUUCCCACUUAAGGCACCAAGAAAACUGGAACAUCAGUACGACGCUAAGUAGUAUCAGUUCGCGUACAGUGCCUCCGCCAAUAAUACCCGUGAUACAAAACAAAAUAAUUGCCUGCUUUUCGCAUUCCUAUACAUGAUCAUUUCUGUCAGGCCUUUGUAGUCAGGGUGGCGUGCGUUGCAGUAAACUAUAUUUUCAUGCCACGCUACACAGAACAAAAGCAAAAAGUCGAUCCCGACACAUGGUGCCGACUACGUGGCACGCGGUGCCAGCUAUGUGGCCUAUAUGGUGACGACUACGUAGGACAUGGUGUCGACUACGGAACACUUGUCGCUAUAUUUCAAUGCUAUACAACUGGUGCGUGUGUGCGUGCACACAAAUCGCCAGGCUAAGGCUCUAAUUGAUAUGUACUGCUCAGCUAUUUCUUUCAGAGAGGCGUAAUGUUUCACUAUCGAAUCCUCGGACUUGCACUACACUCGCAGAGGAUGCGGUCCGUCGAAUUCUGUGUGAACACUAAUGGCAGAAAGUGUACAGUAUUUAAGAGUGGUAAGCAUGGGACCCACUGUAUUACCCUGGUAUCGAUUGAAAGCAAGCUAGUACGUAGUAGAGACCGUCACAGAAAGAGGAGUACGGAGUCACCUACGGCAGACAUAUUGAAAGAAGGUCACGUGACAGGGGAUAGAAGUGCGACAAGUGCUUUCAAAAUAAGGUGCAGCAAUUUCCCGUUGGCGUCAUAAAGGGUGUCUGGCAUAGCCCUUCCCGAUGAUAUUAUCCCGGCACGCAGCUAAUUUUAUGCCGAAAACUUGCUGUAGGUGGUGCAGCAGGUCAGCGUUUCCUUCUUGCUUCUCUCUGUCUCUCUCUACGCUGCCGGAUCAGCACUUCAAAACACCCCUAGAUGAAUGCACGAAGUAUGACUUGGACCGCAGUUUCAAUGACGAGAGACCCAGAGGGCGGUACUGACUAUGCCCCGCUGCCAUUUCGUGGUACGUAGAAGAACUGACGAAGAGUUAGGUGACGUACGAUUGCCAGUUGCCUCCCUCGAAGCCUUUAGUGUAAAUUCUUCGCAAGCCGAUGCAUGGAAUUAUGACGUUAGGUGUUCCCUCGGAAACAAAGGUCUUUGAAAAGUUAAUGCGUAAUUACGGUUGGGCAUACUACACAAAAAGGCAACAAGGGUGACACGAUGAUUGAUAGUUUUUUUUUUUUUCUUGGCAACGUGCUCUUCUACGCAAGAGACACGCAUUGCUUACUUCACAAUGCUUCCGGUGUUUAAAGUCCCAUCCAGGUCGCCAUUGCCAACACUGCUCGCCUCAGACGGAUGUAAAUGAGUCAAAUAUUCUUGUUUGACAAAUGCUCAGGGUGUACGCCACGCGCUGUUGGGAAUGAAUACCCAUGCCUGUGAAUGUAGCGAGAACCUAUGACUUGUUCCCUUGAAUGAGCCACUGUGCUGAAAAGUCGUUCUUAGAGAGAGUGGUAUCGGUGCCUUCGUUAAAACUGCAAGCUAGAGAUAGCUCUUCUUUGCAAGCACGUACUGACCAAACAAAACAAAAUAUAGAGGUGAGUACAGAGAAUGAUGUAUCUGAAUGAGCUGUGUAUCUUUAACAUAUUGAUAAUAAUAUAUGUGUCGACUAUUAAAGUUUUCUAUCUUCAAAAA